rnacentral:RNase_P_RNA from 1 species
GAAGGGAAUCGGGCAGUCGCUCCGUAUUCGCAAAGGUACGGAGAGGAAAGUCCGGGCACCGGGGACAGGAUACCUCGUGUUAAACGGGGGCCCCCCAAUUACGGGGGAACGGAUAGUGCCACAGAGAACAGACCGCCCCGUGCCGUAUUACGGGACGGAGUGAGUAGUGAAAAGGUGGGGUAAGAGCCCACCGCGUUCAUGGUAACAUGCACGGGCUCGGCAAACCCUAUCCGGUGCAAGACCGAGCAGAAGGAGCCUCCCGGACAAAGCGACGGGAGGAGGCAGUCCCGGCCUUAUUCCUUCGGGUGGGUCGCUCAACGCCCUUCCUGCGCAAACGGGAGGGCCAGAUAAAUGACUGCCUCUCUCUGGGCUACGGCCGAGAGACGAACAGAACCCGGCUUACAGAUUCCUUCCUCCA